rnacentral:lncRNA from 1 species
UGCUGGUUUAUUGGUGCUGAGUUAUUGGUGCUGGGUUAUUGGUGCUGAGUUACUGGUGCUGGUUUAUUGGUGCUGGUUUAUUGGUGCUGGGUUAUUGGUGCUGGGUUAUUGGUGCUGAGUUAUUGGUGCUGGGUUAUUGGUGCUGGUUUAUUGGUGCUGGGUUAUUGGUGCUGGGUUAUUGGUGCUGGUUAUUGGUGCUGGGUUAUUGGUGCUGGUUUAUUGGUGCUGGGUUAUUGGUGCUGGUUUAUUGGUGCUGGGUUAUUGGUGCUGAGUUAUUGGUGCUGGUUUAUUGGUGCUGGGUUAUUGGUGCUGGUUUAUUGGUGCUGGGUUAUUGGUGCUGGGUUAUUGGUGCUGGUUCAUUGGUGAUGAGUUACUGGUGCUGGUUUAUUGGUGCUGGGUUAUUGGUGCUGGUUUAUUGGUGCUGAGUUAUUGGUGCUGGGUUAUUGGUGCUGGUUCAUUGGUGCUGGGUUAUUGGUGCUUGUUUAUUGGUGCUGGGUUAUUGGUGCUGGUGUUAUUGGUGCUGAGUUAUUGGUGCUGGUUUAUUGGUGCUGGGUUAUUGGUGCUGGGUUAUUGGUGCUGGUUCAUUGUUAUUGGUGCUGAGUUAUUGGUGCUGGGUUAUUGGUGCUGGUGCUGAGUUAUUGGUGCUGGGUUAUUGAGAUAUGACCCAGCGGGUCAGCUCAGAAGGCUGGAGGUGAAGUUUAGUAGGGGCGUGGCUUUCAGAUAGUUCUUUAUAGCCACCCGUGAGAGUAAAAGUCUGUUCUGUUGUAUAGUUAUUAGGCUUGGGCGAUAUACCGCUUAUACCUCGUGGGAGCUGCCGGGGUAGGUGCUACACCACUACUUAUAACUAUAAGUUAAAUAUUACUAUGAGAAAUCUAUAAACUAUAUCCAGCUCAGGGCUCCAGCUAUGCAUUUGGUUUGUUAACUUGUUAGCUAAGUGGCUAGAUGUCAAGAUCAAGCUUCUUGGUUACAGCAGAGAUAUUCAACCCCCCUCCUGGAUCAAGAUCCCUGUUCGCCUAAAUUGUUUUUAGAAAUAGCGGCCCUUUUGUGCACUUGCGGUAAUAACGUAUAACCCCUGGUAUGGUACAGAAACGGUAGGACGGUAUGAACAUCUGCAUACAGCCCAACCCUAAUAGUUAUUGCGUUAAGGUCGAACAUUGACAUUUUUGUAGCUUCAAUGAGGCUUACAGAAGUGUAUGAGUUCGCUGAAAGCCUAUGUAAAUUCCAUUGUUGUGAUGCAAUAAGGUGGGAUACCUUUAUU